UGUCGGGCGUAUGAAUACGAUGAUAUGAGAACUGAUUUCAUACGAUACGCUUGCACGCGUUUAUCGUCUAUCGUAUGAAAAUUCAUAAUAGGGGGUUAAUGAUUUUGUUUUUAAAAAUAUUAAG